UAGGGAAUCUUCCGCAAUGGACGCAAGUCUGACGGAGCAACGCCGCGUGAGUGAAGAAGGAUUUCGGUUCGUAAAACUCUGUUGUUCGAGAAGAACUGCGCAUAGAGUAACUGUUAUGCGUGUGACGGUAUCUCACCAGAAAGCCACGGCUAACUACGUGCCAGCAGCCGCGGUAAUACGUAGGUGGCAAGCGUUGUCCGGAUUUAUUGGGCGUAAAGCGAGCGCAGGCGGUCAAUUAAGUCUGAUGUGAAAGCCCCCGGCUCAACCGGGGAGGGUCAUUGGAAACUUGUUGACUUGAGUGCAGAAGAGGAGAGUGGAAUUCCAUGUGUAGCGGUAAAAUGCGUAGAUAUAUGGAGGAACACCAGUGGCGAAGGCGACUCUCUGGUCUGUAACUGACGCUGAGGUUCGAAAGCGUGGGUAGCAAACAGG
rnacentral:rRNA from 1 species